AUUGAACGCUGGCGGCAGGAUUAACACAUGCAAGUCGAGCGAGCGGCGGACGGGUGCGUAAUGUCUGGGAAACUGCCUGCUGGAGGGGGAUAACUACUGGAACCGGUAGCUAAUAACGCAUACCAUCAGAUGUGCCCGGAUGGGAUUAGCUAGUAGGGGGGGUAAUGGCUCACCUAGGCGACGAUCCCUAGCUGGUCUGCGAGGAUGAACAGCCACACCGGAACUGAGACACGGUCCAGACUCCUACGGGAGGCAGCAGUGGGGAAUAUGGCACAAUGGGCGCAAGCCUGAUGCAGCCAUGCCGCGUGUGUGAAGAAGGCCUUCGGGUUGUAAAGCACUUUCAGCGAGGAGGCGUUACUCGCAGAAGAAGCACCGGCUAACUCCGUGCCAGCAGCCGCGGUAAUUC
rnacentral:rRNA from 1 species